UUUUUUUUUUUUUACAAAGGGAGAAAUGUAUCUUUAGUAAUAAUCGAUGAAAUCUACUUUGCGAUGGAGAAAUAAUUCUCUCAAUAUGAUGUUAAUUAGAAUGAGAUUGAAAAUGAACAAAAACGAGAAGAAGUUAUAAAUUAAACGAAGGAAAGAGAGAAGAUAAAGAGAACAAAAACUCACAGAAAAGAACCGCUACGAAUUCCGUAUCUUCGACGAUUUUAUCCAGAAUUUUAGCAUUUACUUCUUCUAUCCGAUCUGGUAAAUCCAUUGCCUCUAAACUGAAGAAAAUAUCUCAUUAGCGGAAACCUCAUUAAAAUUUUUAAUGAAAAAUAAAUUAUGCCAUAUAAUUAUGAUACAAUAUCGUAUGCUCGAUCAAGCCUCAUGUGUUAACAAAAAUUUCAAUUUGUAAAUUAUAUCACACAGUUAAACUCAAGAUUUAUAAAAAAGACACGUCGUGAAAACAAUCUCAAUAGAUUCAACAAAAACUUUAAGUACGUAUGAUAAAGUU